AGAGUUUGAUCCUGGCUCAGGAUGAACGCUAGCUACAGGCUUAACACAUGCAAGUCGAGGGGCAGCAUUGGAGUAGCAAUACUUCAGAUGGCGACCGGCGCACGGGUGAGUAACACGUAUCCAACCUGCCGCUUACUCGGGGAUAGCCUUUCGAAAGAAAGAUUAAUACCCGAUGGUAUAAAGAGUUCGCAUGUUCUCUUUAUUAAAGAAUUUCGGUAAGCGAUGGGGAUGCGUUCCAUUAGAUAGUUGGCGGGGUAACGGCCCACCAGGUCUACGAUGGAUAGGGGUUCUGAGAGGAAGGUCCCCCACAUUGGAACUGAGACACGGUCCAAACUCCUACGGGAGGCAGCAGUGAGGAAUAUUGGUCAAUGGACGAGAGUCUGAACCAGCCAAAGUAGCGUGAAGGAUGACUGCCCUAUGGGUUGUAAACUUCUUUUAUAAGGGAAUAAAGUGAGGGACGUGUCCCUUUUUGUAUGUACCUUAUGAAUAAGGAUCGGCUAACUCCGUGCCAGCCGCCGC
rnacentral:rRNA from 1 species